UAACGCGUGGGUAACCUGCCUCAUACAGGGGGAUAACAGUUGGAAACGACUGCUAAUACCGCAUAAGCGCACAGGAUCGCAUGAUCCGGUGUGAAAAACUCCGGUGGUAUGAGAUGGAUCCGCGUCUGAUUAGCCAGUUGGCAGGGUAACGGCCUACCAAAGCGACGAUCAGUAGCCGACCUGAGAGGGUGACCGGCCACAUUGGGACUGAGACACGGCCCAA
rnacentral:rRNA from 1 species